rnacentral:rRNA from 1 species
AUUGAACGCUGGCGGCAUGCCUUACACAUGCAAGUCGAACGGUAACGGGCCUUCGGGUGCCGACGAGUGGCGAACGGGUGAGUAAUGCAUCGGAACGUACCUUUCAGUGGGGGAUAACGUAGCGAAAGUUACGCUAAUACCGCAUAUUCUGUGAGCAGGAAAGCAGGGGAUCGCAAGACCUUGCGCUGAUUGAGCGGCCGAUGUCAGAUUAGCUAGUUGGUGAGGUAAUGGCUCACCAAGGCGACGAUCAGUAGCUGGUCUGAGAGGAUGAUCAGCCACAUUGGGACUGAGACACGGCCCAAACUCCUACGGGAGGCAGCAGUGGGGAAUAUUGGACAAUGGGCGCAAGCCUGAUCCAGCCAUGCCGCGUGAGUGAUGAAGGCCUUAGGGUUGUAAAGCUCUUUUACCCGGGAAGAUAAAUGACUGUACCGGGAGAAUAAGCCCGGCUAACUUCGUGCCAGCAGCCGCGGUAAAAUC